AAUUGGGGCGUGGGUGUGGUUUGCCUCUCACUGUUGCAGGGCCAGCCUCUGCCCUGUCACCAGCCCACCAUUGGUGCCAACAGAGCUGGGGGAUCAAUCAAGAGGGGAGACCUGCCCUUUCUCUGCUGUGUUUCCUCGCCCAGCUGCACGUUGCAACAGAGCAGGUAAGGUAAAGAAGAGGAAGCUCAGCAGAAAGGACUCAGCCGGGGAGGAAUAUGAGCAGUGCAUCUGCCGCCCAGUGACGACAAGGUCCAUUUGAGGCACAGUGGGACCUGUCUGGGAGCGGGGAAAACCCUGCUCCCUCCUGGGGCCUCCUGGGAGGUUGUUAAAGUGGAGGGAGCAGCCAGAGAAAGUGCUUCUCUGUCUUUAUCCCCAGAGGCUGGACUCCUGGAUGUCAAGGCUGAAUUUCCCUGGCAGAUCUUUCUAGAAGAAUUUUCCCCAGAAUGCAGUACUUACGGGAGGAGAGUGUGUUCCCACGGUGUGUUCUGAAUUGUUGUUUGAGGGAUGACUGGGGAGAGUCUCUGAUUCCCCCCUCACACCCAUACCCAUCAUUUGCAGCCUGAGUGCCCCGGCAGAGGAAGUCCUCAGGCAAAGAAACUCAGUGAAGUAUUGACAAGAGGAGUAAAGGACUCAAAGGAGCAGCAGGAAAAGAGAGGAGUUGAAGACUCUUGCUAGGUUCAGAGAACCAGCUUUCCAGCUGCUGAGGGCGUAUGCUUCCACCAUGCCCCACAGUAACUCUUGAAGAAAGUGAAGUCUCUAAAGAUCUAUUGAUGAGCCCAAUUACUAAACACCUUUAACAAGAAAAUAUUCCUUCUGGGUCCUUUUCCUUCACAUUGCAUGAGUUCCAAGAGAAGGAAUUAGUGUAGUAGUUGAAUGAAUGGCUAAAGGAUACCUAUCGAUGGUGUGAGACUCUACAUGAGUGGAAUUUCCGACUAUAAGAGACACUUUGUAAAAAUUGUGAAUCAGAUACUCAUUUUUGUCCCACCUCUGCCAGGAUUUCCAUCUCUUCACCAUUCUUCACCAGGAUCAUGGUAGUUCCCACCCUGUCCCCUACCAAAUGGGUCCUACUUGGCAGUGUCUUGUGUUCUGUUUUUCUCUUCUCCCUUCUUACCCCUACUAUGAAUGAUAUGUAUUUUACAUUUUCUGGAGUCUAAGCCUUCCUUUUCUUCAGUCCCUCAUUCCUCCAUCUCUAUCCACUAAUCUAUCCUGUCAUUUACCCAUCUAUCCUGUCAUCCAACCAUCCAUCCACCUAUCCAUCCAACAUCCAACCAUCCAUCCACAUAUCCGUCCAACA